rnacentral:lncRNA from 1 species
CCAGGGAACUCACAAGAGUCUCCUCCAGCACCACAAUUCAAAAGCAUCAAUUCUUUGGUGAUCAGCCUUCUUUAUGGUCCAGCUCUCACUUCCAUACAUCGCUACUGGAAAAACCAUAGCUUUGACUAUGCAGACCUUUGUCGGCAAGGUGAUGUCUCUGCUUUUUAAGAUGCUGUCAAGGUUUGUCAUUGCUUUCCUCCCAAGAAGGUGUCUUUUAAUUUCAGGGCUGCUGUCACCAUCUGCAGUGAUCAUGGAGCCCAAGAAGGUAAAAUCUGUCACUGCUUCCAUAUCCUCACCUUCUAUUUGCCAGGAGGUGAUAGGGCCAGUCGCCAUGAUCUUAGUUUUUUAUGAUGUAGAGCUUCAGACCAUUUUUGUGCUCUCCUCUUUUACACUCAUUAAGAGUAUCCUAUCAUCAUCACUUUCUGCCAUCAGAGUGGUAUUAUCUGCAUAUCUGGGGCUGUUGAUAUUUAUUCUGACAAUCUUAAUUCCAUUUUGGGAUUCAUCCACUCCAGCCUUUCUCAUGAUGUAUUCUGCAUAUAAGUUAAGUAAAUGGCUAGUCAGGUAUAUUCUAAACCAAAUCCCUUAUGAAUUCACAGUGGAAGUGAAGAAUAGAUUUAAGGAACUAGACUUGGUGGACAGAGUGCCUGAAGAACUAUGGAUGGAGGCUCGUAACAUUGUACAGAAAGCAGCAACAAAAACCAUCCCAAAGAAAAGGAAAUGCAAGAAAGCAAAGUGGCUGUCCAAGGAAGCCUUACAAAUAGCAGAGAAGAAAAGGGAAACAAAAUGCAAGGGAGAAGGGAGACAGGGAAAGUUACAGAAAAUGGAAUGCUGACUUCUAAAGAAUAGCAAGGAGAGACAAGAGGGCCUUAUUAAAUGAACAGUGCAAAGAUAUAGAGGAAAAUAAUGGAAAGGGAAAUGUGGGAAACUUCUGCUUAAAGGUUGUAGCUGCAUUCUGUUCCAGUGAUGCGGAUACACUCCUGAAAGGAAGUGGCAGCUGCCAGCAGGCGAGGUAACCCCUUAUUCUGCCCUUUCGCUUAGAGGUAGAGCACAAGAUCAAAGCGUUAUUUCAACCAAUCUUAGUUACAAUUAGGU